rnacentral:ncRNA from 1 species
CUCAGGUAGUAAUGACAAGGGCGUCUGGUUUGGUAACGAGCCAGAUCAUCACUGGGUGAAUUGCUGGGAGUUCCUAAAGCUUUAUCUACCACAACGUGACGGGAAACGGUGAGCGUGAAGGUGUAAAAAAGAUGAAGAUGACACAAUGGAUGAUCAGCAGCCAAGCUCCUGUGAGGAAACUCAGGAGAAGGUUCAACGACUAGAGUAUACGGUCUAAGGCAAUAUGCUAUGACUAUGAAUCUCGUAGGACCGAAAUAUGUGUCCGAAGCGCCCAGCCCCUAUGAUUUAGGGUGAAGAGAUAGUCUAUUUCGUACUCGAAAGAUGCGA